AACGAACGCUGGCGGCAGGCUUAACACAUGCAAGUCGAACGCCCCGCAAGGGGAGUGGCAGACGGGUGAGUAACGCGUGGGAAUCUACCGUACCCUACGGAACAACAGUUGGAAACGACUGCUAAUACCGUAUACGCCCUACGGGGGAAAGAUUUAUCGGGGUAUGAUGAGCCCGCGUUGGAUUAGCUAGUUGGUGGGGUAAAGGCCUACCAAGGCGACGAUCCAGAGCUGGUCUGAGAGGAUGAUCAGCCACAUUAGGACUGAGACACGGCCCAAACUCCUACGGGAGGCAGCAGUGGGGAAUAUUGGACAAUGGGCGCAAGCCUGAUCCAGCCAUGCCGCGUGAGUGAUGAAGGUCUUAGGAUUGUAAAGCUCUUUCACCGAUGAAGAUAAUGACGGUAGUCGGAGAAGAAGCCCCGGCUAACUUCGUGCCAGCCGCCGCAGUAA
rnacentral:rRNA from 1 species